ensembl:snRNA U6 U6 spliceosomal RNA
GUGCUCCCUACGGCAGCACAUAUACUAAAAUUUGAUCGAUACAGAGAAGAUUAGCAUGGCCCCUGCGAAAGGAUGACACGCAAAUCUGUGAAGCGCUCCAUAUUUUU